rnacentral:rRNA from 1 species
UGCCAGCCGCCGCGGUAAUACGGAGGGUGCAAGCGUUGUUCGGAAUUAUUGGGCGUAAAGCGCGUGUAGGCGGUUCGUUAGGUCUGAUGUGAAAGCCCGGGGCUCAACCCCGGAAGUGCAUUGGAAACUGGCGAACUUGAGUACGGGAGAGGAAAGUGGAAUUCCGAGUGUAGGGGUGAAAUCCGUAGAUAUUCGGAGGAACACCAGUGGCGAAGGCGGCUUGCUGGGACAGUUCUGACGCUGAGGGACGAAAGCGUGGGUAGCAAACCGGAUUAGAUA